UACAGAGGGGGCAAGCGUUGUUCGGAAUUACUGGGCGUAAAGGGCGCGUAGGCGGCCUGUUAAGUCGGACGUGAAAUCCCUCGGCUCAACCGGGGAACUGCGUCUGAUACUGGCGGGCUUGAAUUCGGGAGAGGGAUGUGGAAUUCCAGGUGUAGCGGUGAAGUGCGUAGAUAUCUGGAGGAACACCGGUGGCGAAGGCGGCAUCCUGGACCGACAUUGACGCUGAGGCGCGAAAGCCAGGGGAGCAAACGGG
rnacentral:rRNA from 1 species